GCAGCGCCGCUUACGACGCCGGGGCUACCAUAGAGACUCGGGGGCAGAGCUACGGGAGCGGCGCGCGGAAUGCUGGGAUAGCGGAGGUCCGCCGAGCGCUUCCUGCGGGCUUAGCUGUUCCAGACAGCAACCCUAGUUCAUAGCGUCUACCAAACCCUGUGCAUCAAACAUGAUAGACGAGGCCAUUUUCCUCAGGAGCUCGUAGUCUAUGCAGAGGCGUGUAAACAGGAAGCUGAAAUAUGGCCCAAGAUGGAGGGAAAGUCUAUAAACUGUUUGUCGCCAAAGUUGGUGCCCUGAAGAGUUAAGCCUCUAAUUAGACCGGGAGUUGAUUUAUUAGUACUGCAGGCUUCGACAUUUCCUCACUGUUAAGACCGACUGGAGACACAAGUUGUCUUUUCAAGGGUUGGAAGAAGACAUUUCUCCAUGGGAUGAAAACUCAAGCUUGUAGUCUGCUCAUGAAUAAGCUACACAGGCCGUGCUGCUGAAUCAGCCUUGGGACAGAAGGCAAGAAGCACUAUAAGGUGCAGGUAUGAGCUACUGCCGGUGGCUGGUUCCCCGGUCAGCUAUGCCAGCUGAUCCUGCACCCCACCUGCUCUUCAACCAGACAGACUCCACUGCCCUGCCAGCCCACGAAGCCAUCAGCUGAGAGACUGGAGGGCGAGCACAUGUGGAAGCUCACAGAAAUUUAACCGAUUUCAAUGCACGCAUCUGUACACAGAUGAGCUUAGACUCUAACUGAGGAAGCUAGAAAAAGGCUAUGAGAAUGAAUGCACAGGAAAAGGAGGGGACUAGCAGAUACGAAGUAAAAAAAAAGAAAGAAAGAAGGAAACCUAGGUAAAAUAUAUAAAUUUUGAGAAAAAAGCACAAAAGGUAUAACUGGCACAAGAAGAAAUAGAAAAGUUUAAUAGACUCAUACAAUUAAAUUUUUUAUGGUCAUCAAAGUAUUUUUACAGUUUUAUCGUUGAAUUUCAACAAAUUCUUAAAGAACUGUUAAACUUUAUAUGAGUUAUUCCAGAAAAUAGAAAAAGAGGCAAAGCUGCCCAAGUAAUUCUGUAAAGCCAGUAAAAUCUUCAUUUUCAACCCAAAGGAAAACAGAGCAAGAAAAAAAAAAAUAAGUGCACUUCACUGAUGAACACAGAUGAGAUAUUCUAAAUAAAGACGUCAGCUAAUGGACACAGAUGCUCCUGGACUUACAAUGGGUAGUCCCAAUUGAUCUAUCCUAAGUUGAAAACACUGUGCUUUUUACACACCCAACCUACUGAACAACCCAGCUUAGCGACAGAACACACUGUAGACAGCCAGCUGUUUCCCUGGCUGACUGGGCCAGUGAGGGCUGCCCCAGCCCACCCUGACAGAACACCCUGCAUCACUAGCCCAGGAAAGAGCCAAAUUCAAAUUUUGAAGGAAGGUUUCUGUGGAAUACAAGUCACUUUUGUACCAUCAUAAAGUCCAAAAUAUUCCAAGUCUAAUCAUCAUUAAAUUGGGACCACUGUGUUUUUAAAAAACAAUAUGAUGAUCAAGCAAGUUUUAUCUUGGGAAUGCAAAAGUGGUUUAACAUAACAAAGUUUCCAUAUUAAUGGACUGAAAGACAAAAAGUCCAUAUUACUCAAAUAACUGUGGAAAAAUAACCUGCUAGAAACUAUGUUUUUAAAAAACUAUUACGGAGGCCGGCACUGUGGCAUAGUGGGUAAAGCCGCCACCUGCAGUGCUGGCAUCCCAUAUGGGCACCAGUUCAAGUCCCUGCUGCUCCUCUUCCGAUCCAGCUCUCUGCUAUGGUCUGGAAAGCAAUAAAAGAUGGCCCAAGUCCUUGGGCCUCUACACACGUGUGGGAGACCUGGAAGAAGAUCAUGGCUCCUGGCUUCGGAUCAGCCCAGCUUUGGCCAUUUCAGCCAUUUGGAGAGUGAACCAGCAGAUGGAAGAUAUUUUCUCUCUCUCUCUCUCUCACUCUCAUUCUCACUCUGCCUUUCAAAUAAAUAAAAUAAAUCGUAAAACAAAAAAGCCACACCACCAAUUCUUAGUAAUACAAACAACACUGGGGCCAGUGUUGUGGUGCAGCAGAUUAAGUCACUGCUUGUGUCCUGGCAUCCAAUAUGGGGGCACUGCUUCGUGUCCUGGCUGCUCCGCUUCUGAUUCAGUCCCUGCUAAUGUGCAUGGGAAAGCAGCACAGAUGAUGGCCCAAGCACCUGAGCCCCUGUCACCCAUGUGGGAGACCAUGAUGGAGUUCCUAGCCCCUGCAUUGGCCUGGCCUCCCCCUCUGACUGUUGCCGGCAUUUGGGAAGUGGACCAGUAGAUAGAAGAUAUCUUUCUCUUUGCCUCUCCCUUUCUCUGUCACACUGCCUUUCAAACGAAUAAAUAAAUAAAAUCUUUUUUAAAAACUCAUUGUGGGGCCGGCGCCGUGGCUCAAUAGGCUAAUCCUCCACCUGCGGCGCUGGCACACUGGGUUCUAGUCCCAGUUGGGGCGCCGGAUUCUGUCCCGGUCACUCCUCUUCCAGUCCAGCUCUCUGCUGUGGCCUGGGAGUGCAGUGGAGGAUGGCCCAAGUGCUUGGGCCCUGCACCCCAUGGGAGACCAGGAGAAGCACCUGGCUCCUGCCUUCGGAUUAGCACACUGCGCCAGCGCACUGUGCUGGCCGCAGCGGCCAUUGGAGGGUGAACCAACAGCAAAGGAAGACCUUUCUCUCUGUCUCUCUCUCACUGUCCACUCUGCCUGUCAAAAAAAAAAAAAAUUGUGAUACUUGCACAACAACAAAUAGAGCAGUGACUGAACAGAAAGCUUACAUGGAUGCCUGUACAUGUGACUUGCUAUAUCGUUGUGGAAGCAUCGCAAAUCAAUGGCAAAAAAUUCAUGAUGCUGGCUAAGCUGACUGAUCAGAUAGGGAAAAUGAAGUAAUGAUGUACUUUACACCACACAUAAACAUGUACUCCCAAGGAAUUAAAGACCAAGAGAUGCAAGGUAAAAGCAUAAAGCCAACAAAAUAAAAUGUAAAGACAUAUUUUCUCCUUUCCUUCUUUUAAAGAUUUAUUUAUUUAUUUAAAAGGCAGAGUUAUAGAGAGGCAGAGGUAGAGAAAGAGAGAGAAAGAGGUCUUCCAUCUGAUGGUUCACUCCCCAAAUGGUCCAAAUGGCUGGAGUUGGCCCGAUCUGUAGCCAGGAGCCAUGAUCUUCUUCUGGGUCUCCCACGCAGAUGCAGGGGCCCAAGUCCUUGGGCCACCUUUUACUGCUUUUCCAGGUCAUAGCAGAGGGCUGGAUUGGAAGUGGAGCAGCCAGGACUCAAACCAGUGCCCAUGUGGGAUGCCAGCACUGCAGGUGGUGGCUUGACCCACUAUGCCACAGCACCAGCUGAGGAAUGGCUUUUUGAAGCAAAGAAGCACAACCCAUACUGCCUGGCACUGGCACUGUGGUGCAGUGGGUCAAGUUGCCACUUGCAAUGCCGGCAUCCCAUGUCAGAGUGCCGAUCUGAGUCCAGAAGGUGUUCUCCUAGACCUUUAGUCUGUCUUGUACAUACAAGGUGUGAUGUGGUGAGAGUGGGGGGGAGGGGAGCUGCAUGCAGUCUGAGAGAAAGGCAUUCAAAAGUACUUCAAAGAGUUCAUGGGAAAACGGAAUUAACAGUAGGAGUUCAAUGAGGUGUAAAAAACCUUUCUGGUGCAAAAUAUUUUUGCAUAAUAAGUGGAAAAUGCAUAUUAUGAAAAAUUUAUUAAUGGAUUUCAUUUUUUGCUCCAAAAUACACUCAUAAUUUUAAUUCCAUUUUCUGUUACAUUUUAAAAAUAUAGUAAAUGUGCCUUAUUUAGAAGCAACACACUAGAUGUGUGCACACAGAGCAACAUGGGUAGAUUUUCAAAACAUUCUGCUGUUUUGAUAGUUAUAAUGCUGUCUUCAGUGAAGACAGCAUAUUAUGUAAUAAUAUACCCUUCUUUCCUCACUUUAUGAUCCUUGUCAUGAAUCCCACAGUAUGUGAUAUUAAUAUCCCCACUUUGAAGAGCAAUGAUGUGUCUGUGUAAUAUUUACAUAGGAAGUGAAUAUGGCAAAAUGUCAAAAAUUAUUAAAUAUAAAAAAAUAGAAAUUUUGUUGUGUUACCAAACAAUGCAGACAUGAACACAGUUCAGUCCUGUGCAUACUUGAUGACAUAAACAGACCAGGAUGAGUAUCCAAAUGACUGCCUAUUGGUAAAGCAGCCACUGGUGUUGAAACAAAUUAAAGUUAAAUCAAGGAGCCAAGGAUGCAAGAGUGUGAUGAACACAACGGUUCUGGAGAAUAAAGGGAGAAAAUACAAAUCCCAAUGUUUCACUGUCCAGUUGUUCCUGCUAGUUCUCCUGUGAUCGCCAAGUACUGAGUACAUGCAUGCACACAGAUACACCCUGAGAAAGCCAAGCCAGGCACACUGGCUUUGUUUCCUUUCUGGCGGAAUGUAUUUGCACAUCUAACCAGCGGCCAGAUCGGUUAGGGCAUUGAAGCUGAUUUGUGCCUUGGUUUUCUCCCUUCCCUUACACAGAUGCCUCCGCAGGAUCAGCACCCACCCAGCAGCUUCUGAGAAUCAGUAAUAUCAAAUGACGAAAAAUAACUCGCAAAACUAAAAAGAUAUAAUUCCAAAUAAUUUAGUGAAAAUGCAGCCACUCCAGGUACUGAACUAUUUUUUUUUUUUUUUUUUUUUUUUUGCACAAGUGAAUUGGAGAAUUGGGUAAUUAAGCAGUAAUUUUGAUUAGUAGUUGCCAACAUGAAAUUAAAACCCCUGUGGCUCAACAGGCUGAUCCUCCGCCUAGCGGCGCCGGCACACCGGGUUCUAGUCCCGGUCAGGGCGCCUGAUUCUGUCUCGGUUGCCCCUCUUCCAGGCCAGCUCUCUGCUGUGGCCCGGGAGUGCAGUGGAGGAUGGCCCAGGUGCUUGGGUCCUGCACCCGCAUGGGAGACCAGGAGAAGUACCUGGCUCCUGCCAUCAGAUCUGCGUGGUGUGCCGGCCGCAGCGGCCAUUGGAGGGUGAACCAACGGCAAAGGAAGACCUUUCUCUCUGUCUCUCUCUUUCACUGUCCACUCUGCCUGUCAAAAAAAAAAAAAAAAAAUUAAACCCCAAGCUUUUCCUCUUGCUCAAUGGAAAAAAUGUCAAGAUGUUUCUGUCUCCAUACUGAAAGAGAAAGCGCAGCUCCCAAGCACACUUUAUUGACAUCACCAAGAAACUGAAACAAUAGUGUGGUCAACCAGAGGAUUCCUGCUCUUCCCAACUAAUACCAUUGAAAGUAUUCAGAUGCUAAUAGUUAAUACUUGUGGGGAGUUUGCAUGAAAUACCUGAGACUCUCCUGAGGUGAUUACCACCAUUAUUACCUUUUAGUUCAAAUGAGGAAACCAAGUCUGAGAGAUGGGAAAUAUUGAUCUAUAGAUUAGCUAGCCAUGAAAUGGUCAAAAUGAUAUGCCCAAGGCAAUCUCUUGAGGGUGGACAGGUGUGGCUAGAUGUUUUCUAGAAGGGAGUGGGGGGGAGGGUUAACACUCCAACACUCAAGAUAUGAAUUUUAACUGCUCUUUCAACUUGUUUUAUAUAAGUAUAUAAACUUCAUGUAUUUCAUAAGUACAAAUUUAGGAGCAUAGUGAUUCUUCCCACCCUACCCUCCCUCCCACCUGCACUUUUACCUGAUAUCUUAAAUAGGUUUUUUAACAUUAUUAAGCUAGUAGUCACAUCUGAGAAUCUAAUAAAGCUGAGGCCCUCUCAGAACAAAUGCAAGUGUGAGUAUACACCUGGAAGUUUUUUACCUGGAAUCUUAGAAGUUCAUAAACUCCAUGAAUCAGCCUCAAUUGAGCAGCCCCAGGUAUAAAUGGUAUCUAUGUCAUCCAGAGGACUAGCUGACAUUUUCCUGUAGUUUUAAAAAUUUUGAUGAAUGCCCUUUUUAAAAAAAUAUUUAUUUUAUUUAUUUGAAAGGCAGAAUGCCAGAUAGAAAGGAGAGACAGAGAGAUUUUUUUCAUUUGUAGGUUCACUCCCCACAUGGCCACAAAUGCCGGGGCUGGACCAGGCUGAAACCAGGGACCUGGAACUCCAUCUGGGUCUCCCAUGUGAGUGGCAGGGAGCCAAGGACCUGGGCCAUCUUCCACUGCUUUCCCAGGUGCCUGAGCAGGGAGCUGGAUGGGAAGCGGAGCAGCAGGGGCUCAUGCCAGCAUUGCAAGGGGGCAGCUCUACUCACCGGGCUACAACUCUGGCCUCUCCUGUAGUUUUAAUGAUUAUGAUUCAGCCCAUUCAUUCAUUCAUUCAUUCACUCAUUCCAACUUUCUACAAAUAUUUACUCAUUAUCUACUGAGUGCCAGAACUCCAAAAACUGAAAACACAGUUGCCCUGCAGGACUCUGGGAUGGUAAGGGUACAAAUUAGGGCAGUGGGUGCCUAUGACAGAGUUGGUCAGCCCCAACAUUAUUGACAUUUUGAACCAGACAACAAUUGAUGGUGGAAGAUGUCCCAUGUCCCCUGCACACUAGCUCCAGUAGCACCUCCUCUCCCACUUGAGAUACCCCCAAAUAUCUCAGACAUGGCCAGAUGGCCCCUGGAAGGAAAUGGCCCCUGAUUGAGACCCGGUAACGGGGAAAGAGCUGAGUCAGCCCAGUCAGGGAAGGGUGUGCAGAGGAGGAAACGAUGGAAUCCGACCUGAGGAAGGUUGGGCUGCCUUCCUCUCGAUCCAGUGUCCACGUGGAGGAUGUUUAAAAGUGCUUCCCUGGCCUCUCGGUCCCCUUUCCUCACUCUGUCCCAGUGAAUAGAAAAUGACUCGCUUGCAUGGUAAGUCUGAAAAAGAGGGAUGGGCUUCCUGAGCUGUUUCCUUCGUUGGGACCUGCCAUCCACAAGGUGCACGUGUAGCAGCGCCUCCCCAGGGUCUCAGGCUGUCAGGGAAUGUUCUUCCCGUGAGCCCUGCUGCAGUGGGCUGGCAGCUGCCCCAGGCUGGGCUUUUUAUUAGCCUCCCCACUAGGUGCACGGACCACCUGUGCCCCAGUCCUAAUCCAAGUGUUAUUUAUCUCCCAAACCUUCCUCAGAGCAGAGCUGGGGAUAAGGAGUCUUCUACGCUGAGUUCCUUCACCGAUGCCCUCCUAGGAGAUGGUGAGGAGUGCAUCGGGUAGAUUCGUGGGGAGGGGGGAGUGCAGGCCAAGGAAGUGUCAUCAGCAGAAAUGAGAAAUGAUGUGGUUAUGGGCUGUUCAGGAAGCUCCAGUGCAGUGAGCAGUCUUGGAAUCAUCGGAGCAGCCGAUGACAGAGGCAGGGACUGGGUCACAAAAGGCCUCCUGUAUCCCGCUGAGGAAUCUAGAUUUUUUUUCCUGAGAUAAUUGUUGGUGGCUGCGGAGGAAGAGUUGAGAGAGCGUGGGUGCUGCAGAAGUCGGUCAAGAGCGAAUGGGGCCUCAGCAAGGGUUGGAGUGGCGUGCACGGAGCUGUUUCUAUGACGUUCGUGCCCGCAUCUCAGUUGUUCCUAAUUGAUCUAAGGCAAACUGCAUUCAUUGUGCUGAUUAGGAGUCAAGUUUGCAGUGGCAAAUAAGAAUGGGUGGGGAGGGCGUCUCCUUUGAUGCUUGGUGUGAGUUUUUCUCCAUUUGUCCACUGAAGUGCUCUAUGAGUUAGCAAAUCCUGCACUCGGGAAAGAAUUCACCACUGAGAAGGACACAGAUGUGAAGCAUGACUGACAGAGGAGUCACAGGGCACCACUAAAGGGUCCGCGAAGCCAGACUGGGAGGAAGAGUCAGGGGGCUUCGAAUGAGAGGCAAAUAAUUCACAAAGGUGCUGAUUCUACCCAAUUUCAUUAAAGACUUACAUAAGCAAAUGGGUUUUAACAGAAGCCUAAAAGCAUUAGAUGGGCUGGAAUAAAAACAAAAAGUUUUGGCGAUAGGAAUAGAAUAUUGGAAUUACUGGGAGAACUGUGGCAUGUCCUGCAACAGAGUCCCUAGUAGUAGGCCUUCUAACUAUGGUAUAUACUGGAUGUGAGAUACCUUAAAAGGAAGAUAUAUGGGGGCAUUCCAAAAAGUGCGUGGAAAAGGCAUCGUGUGAGAACACUAAGCAUAGAUUUUUAAAUGUUUUUCAGUAAAAUACGUGUAUUUAAUUCCAUUUCCCACAAACUUUUUGAAGUACCUGUGUGUAAAAAAGACUGCUAUGCAUAUAUGCUAAAGCAUUGAUUUUUAUUUUGUUUAACACCAAAAGGAUCAUUUUGGAUUUCCAGUGUAGCAACCAGAAAAAGCAAAAUACAUCCCACUCUAGAAAUUGGCUGAUAUUUUCUUAGAUUCAUUUCACUUAACAAACACUUUUGAGCUGUUCUAGGUGCUGGGCAUAAAAGACUGAACAAAGGAGGCAAAAAUUCACAUCUAUAUAGAGUUUACAAUCUCAGUCAGCUGUGAUUGGGAUACUGGGAUUUUAGAUAGAUAUUGGGGCUAAAGAGAAAAACUCAAUGAGAAACGCAGUUCUGUGGGUGUCUUGUGCAAAUGGGAAGAGGUAUAAGGGGAUGUGCAAGUUCAGACAGAGUGGCUAGGAAAGGCAUCAGUGUAAGGGUGGCAUCUGAGCAAAGCCUGAACGUCAAGGGAGAAAGCCACGAUGUAGCUCUAUUCUCUGGCAGAAGGAUUAAGAGGUGCAAAGGCCCUGGGUCAGGCAUAUGCUGGAGAUUCAGUGAGCGAGAAAGAAACAAAUUAGUAGAAGAGUAAUAGGAGAGAAGAUCUGAGAGAUGAGGAGGGCAGAUCACACAGGGGCUAGAACAUCUGUAGAAGGGCUUGGGUCUCUGUUUAUACCCAAAGCAAUGGAUUUUAAGCAAAGAAGUAACCCUAGAGCACUAUGGGUACCCCCUGAGAAUAAACUAUGGGUGCUGGUAGCAGAAGCAGGAAAUCCAGUUAGAGGACUUCAGUAUCCCAGGUGGGAUGACAGGGGUCUGGAAAUAUGAUGAGCAGCAGCUGGAUUCUGAGCAUUGUUUUUUCUUUUUUUUUUUUUGAGGGUAGAGUCAGUAGGACUCUCUGAUGGCCCAGAUGAGAGUAUGAAAGAGAAGGGGCAAAGAAAACUCCAAACUUUUUUUACACAAGCAACUGAAAGAAUGGGGCCACCCAGAAAUCGAGGGCUCUGUGAAAGAAGAGGCUUGGGGUGUGCGCAGCCAAAGCUCCAGUUUGUCUCAGUGGCAUGAGAGGCAGCCUGGUGUCAACGUCUCUACUACGCAGGCAGCUCUGGGAGGGCAGCGGAUUGUCUGUCUCACUGCACCCGUUUUCCCCGCCACCACUUCACACAGUCCCUCAUUGACCUACUGCUACAAAACAAAACAAAAUACCUCUGCUCUUCCAAGUUUUAAAAUGCACAUGACAAUUCUGCUUUGCUUUAAAUUUGCUCUUGGGUUUUAUUUUGUCUAAUAAAACGCAAUACACAUUAAAAUGCCUGGCACACGGUAGGCGUUGAAUAAAUAUUUGUUGAAUGAAUGAAUGGUAGUGGGGAAGCCACAGAGCGAUUUCCCUUUCCUGAGAAGACCACACAGGAGUGGAAGGAGAGCACGGCCAUGCUGUUAGGGUCUAAAUAAGAACCACUCUAUAUCUGUGCAUUUUCAGAAAACCAGUGAGAGAUGAGAAAUCCAGAAAUCCUUUACUGCUGUAGACCCUAGAGACUUGGACAAAAGCCUUCAAACAACAUAUUCCAUUAAAGAAAGAACUUUUGAAGAGAAAAAUGCUAUGUUUUUUCCUUUUCCUAAUCUCAGCCUUGCAACUCAAACCAAGCAUAAAGAAUUGGCAGUAUUUUUUAAAGCCUUCCUACGAUGAGAGAUUGAAAACUCAACAGUGUUCCCAGCCAACAAGAGAGUGGUUUGCAGCUUGAUGGGCAGAUAUAUUAAUCUGAGGGCUGUGCAGCUGUGAAUGACUCACGGGUAACAUACAAUGUAGUCUUUGGGAAGAGAGCGUAAAGAUCCAAGACAAAGACCUUGGGUAGAUUUGUAAUCCAUGCGUAAGGACCCUUCUGGAAAAAACGUCUGAAUCUUAUACAGGAAUCCUCAGAACAGAGGCAGCAAAUACCAUGGCUGGGUAUAAAUGCUUAAUUAGGGGCAUAGCUUUACUCUCAAUGGUUGAGAAAGGCCCCUCCAGUGUGGGAAGGGGAUGCUAAUGUUUGGUGAACAUGACAAGGCAGCGGAUGAAAAGGUUCUAGUUCCUCAAACAUAUCAUGAAAAUCUGGUUGUGUCUUGGAGGGAGUUGAUGCUGCGGUGGAACGGAGUGGAGGGCAAGUGCCUGACUCGGGGCAGGGCAGUGGAGGAAGUGCACCUGUGUGAGAGAGGGCAGAAUGGAAACAAAAGCCUUCAGCUUGAGAUGCAGCUCUGGCAUCCGUGGAAGAAAGGGGACCGGGAAGCAGAAUUCACCAGGAAGGGCCUCACGGGAUGAGAAACAGGCAACAAGGUCUAGGCAACUUAACAGGGAACUGCAGAGCGAAGACAACAGGGCAGAACUGGCCAGACCGUAGUGCCCAGCCAUGACCAGGCAUUGGCCGGGGACUUCCUUGCAAGAUGGUGGUGACCUCUGCGGCUAGAAACCAGGAAAGAACCACACACCUUGCAGAUGAUUGGAAAACUGUUGAAGAGAAAUACAAGCAGGGAGCCUCCGUAGCUGCCGCACAGAAUGUCCUGGACUUACAGAGGGAGGCUCCUUCACUGUAGGAACCUAGCAUACGAUGGUGGUGAGUGUGCUGGAAACCUAGAAGACAUUGCUAAACACACAGUGCAUAAUGCUUGCUGGAACAUGUCUUACAAACUCACAUCUCUUCAGACAUGUUUUUGAAAUGGUGCUGCUGUACCUAUAUAAACCUCCUGUCAGUAGUUCUCCAUAGAUUUGUAAGCUAAACUCAAACAGGUGUAGUAGCAACAAACAAUUGGAAAAUGAAAUUUUAGAAAUACUAUUUGCAACAUAAAAUAUCAACUAUCUAGUCAUCUGACAAAGAUAUGCAAAGCUUCUAUGCUGAAAAUUGCAAAACUUUGCUGAGAGAAGUUAGAGAAGAGCUAAAUAAUUGGAGAGAGAAACUAUCCCCUUGGAUUAAAAGACCUCCGAUUUUUGAGAUAACCAUUUCCUCCCAAACAUCUACAAAUAACAUGUAAGCCUAGAUUAUUUUUUUUUUGCUAACAACUUUACAGAUGCAAAAUUUCUAACAAGAUACUCAUAUUUUGAAGGUACAUUUCAAUAAAAUUUGAUACAAAAUUUAUCUAAUGUAUUCACCACCAUACUCAAGAUCUAAAACACUUCCAACGGGGCCAACGCCGCGGCUCAGUAGGCUAAUCCUCUGCCUAUGGCGCCGGCACCCCCAGGGUUCUAGUCCCGGUUGGGGCACCGGAUUCUGUCCUGGUUGCUCCUCUUCCAGUCCAGCUCUCUGCUGUGGCCCAGGAGUGCAGUGGAGGAUGGUCCAAGUGCUUGGGCCCUGCACCUGCAUGGGAGACCAGGAGGAAGCGCCUGACUCCUGGCUUCGGAUUGAUGCAGUGGGCCAGCCGUGGCAGCCAUUUGGGGGGUGAACCAACGGAAGGAAGACCUUUCUCUCUGUUUCUCUCUCUCUCUAACUCUGCCUGUCAAAAAAUAAAUAAAUAAAAAUUAAAAAAAAAAAACCACUUCCAUCACUACAAAACCCCCUCUACACCUAGUCCCUUCCCUCUGCCACUACUUCCAGGAUACCACUGACCUGCUCCCUGUCUCAUUUCCCUGACUGCUCACAUGAAUGGCAUCAGUCAGUGGUGUUAUUUUUAUGUCUUGCUUUGUUUCACUGGAAAACGUUUUUGAAAUUCAUCCAUGUGGUUGCACAUUUCAGUUGCUUGCUUUUUCUGUUUGCUGAUUACUAUUCCAUUGUAUGAAUACAUCCCAAUUUGUUUAUCCAGUCAACUCUUGAUGGAUGGCUGAGAUUUCCUAGUGUGUGGGUGGGGGGACGGGGUUGGGGCUACUAUGAAGAAAGCUUUGAGAAUAUUCAUUUGUAAGGUUUUGUGCAGAUCAGGGUUUCUCAACCUCAGCACUACUAACUUUUAAGGUGGGAACCCUUUCUUGGGUAUGGGGUAAUCAGUGCGUUAUAAGGUAUUUAGCUUUCAGUUGCACCCCCAGUUGUAACAAUAAAAAAUGUCUCCAGACACUGCCAUGUAUUCCCUGUGGGAAGAGGCCUUUUUUCAUUGCUGUAGCAUAAAUACCCAAGAAUGGAAUUACUGAGUCCUCGUGUAAAUGUAUAUUUAACUCUGUAAGAAACUGAUUGAGAGGCUGUUUCAUUUGACAUAAUCACCAGCAAUAUAUCAGAUGCCUAGAUGCCAACAUUUGGUACUGACAAUCAUUUUCAUUUUAACACUUCUAUUUCAAAUAGGUGGUUUUAAUUUAACAAUCUAACAAUUAAUAAAGUGCGAUUUUGAGCAUCAUUUCUUGUGCCUGUUAGCACUGUAUUUGCCUUUUUAUAAAGUGACUGUUCAAGUCUUUUGCUCAUUUCUAAAUUAUUAUCAUUCUUUUAUUGUUACUUUUGAAGGAACAUUUCAUAUAUUGUGAAUGGGAUUCCUUUAUUAGGCAUAUGUGUUUCAACCAUUUUCCAAGUCUGUGACUUAUUUAUUUGCUUCCUAAUGAUGUCUUAUUUACUGAUAUUUUCUUUCCUAUUCCAAAAAGAUCUUCGUUCUGUCUUCUCAAUGUUGUGAAGAUGUUCUUAGGAGGUUUUAUGUUUUGACCACGGUCCAUUGUGAAUGUAUUUUUGCAGAUGGAGGAAGAUAGAAGCUCAGCUUUGUUUGCUUCCAUUUGUACAUCCAGCUACAUCCCUAUUUGUUAAAAAGAUUUUCCUCAUUAGUGACUUGACAAAAUUCAAUUCAGUGCUGUGUCGGGGUCUGUUUCUGGACUCUCUCUGUUCCGUUCUAUUUAUCUAGUUGUUUCUCAGUCUCUUUUAUUAUCAGACCCCUCCCCCCCAGGAGCUUUUCUGAACAUUUUUAUUCUUAAUUGUCCUUCUCCUUCAUGAACUUUCUUUCUAACCUUUUUUUUUUUUCCUAUUGGGUAAAAUACACGUAGCAUAAAAUUUUCUAUCAACCAUUUUCUAUCAUAUAUAUUGUUAUGU